GGGGACGACAGGCUUCGACGGAGGUAAAACCUUAAAAAUCAGGCAGGAGCGCAGGACUCCUUUACCAAACUGCAAACGAAUAAGUGCAAACUUAUUUACAAAAGCUUUUUCCGCUGAACCGGCGCUUGCGCUUGCUUAGUGGCAACGAGCUCUUCUCUGGAUUCGUCCAGAGCAUCGGAUCUGCUCACGCUCGUACGGCAGAACCCCGGUGUUAUAUCUUCGAGCUCGGCAAUCUCGACGUCCGAUACAGAUUGCGACAUUAUCGGGCAACCCCUUUCGCUUUUAGUGAAAUAAGCCUGUAAAACGUUUUUAUGGCCUAGCCUCUCGGAUGGGAGUUCAACUCUCCCCGUCUCCACCG
rnacentral:tmRNA from 2 species